rnacentral:lncRNA from 1 species
GGUGAUAUUGCUAGAUCAUGCAACUUCCUUAGUUUUUACACCAAGUGUUCUUGUGUUUGAAUAAUCCAAGCAAUUACGGAUUCAAAAUUAUUCAAACUAACAAUAUAUUACCUUGCAAUCAAGAAUCAAGUGGCCACAUUGAUCAAAAUAACAAAGCAAUAAUGGAAUCAAGCAUGAAAUUGCACAAAUAUUGAAUAAACCAAAGAUAACAACGUAUGAUUGUAACAGCCCGGAAACCGGACCGCUACCGGCGCUAGGAUCCAGAUCGGCUUAAGGCCGCCGUGACCCGUAGCAAGCCUGCUAUGCACUCUAUGUAC